ensembl:lncRNA
GUAAACCUUUUGACUUUAAUUGAUCAACGUGCUGGAUCCUUCUCAUCAACCGACUCGGGGGAUCGGAGAUCCCGACAGAAGUGUUGAAUGACGAUAAACUGAAGGGUGAAGCCUUGAAUGACGAUAAACUGAAGGGUCCACGGUUACCUAACCCUUCGAACACAGUUCAGUGCACUAACCCCUGGGCGCCAACAAAUCGUGUUUGGCACCAAAGGUGGAGAUGGGGACCUCCAGCCACAACGACGUGGACCUCAGCUGGAUCCCUCAGGAGACCCUCAACCAGAUCAUGCAGAGUCGCAGAGACAAAGCGUCUCCCAGAAGAUCUCCUCGCAAGAGGAACCAGAAACGCUCAGCCGGCUCGGACGAGUGACGGUCGCCAUGGCGACGGUCCACAGAGGACGGAUGAAGACGGGACGAGUGGGGACUCGUUCCACUGAGAGACUUUAAACACACAGGGAUCAUGU